ensembl:lncRNA
AAGUGCAACUUAAGUUUAAAAGCCUGGAGUGUCUUCAAAGAUAGAUCUUUGUGUCAUGGAGAUUUAUCGAUUGGUGGGAGGAAGUGUUCGAUGUGAGAUGUUUCAGAGUUUCCAGGUACUGACUCUAUAGUGUGGUGGAAAAAUCUCUCUAGAGCAUUAACACCAUCUUUUUUUCAGGUGCAUUCACCUGGAGACUGGCAAACACAGCUGAGAUUGGCGAGAUGUCUGGAAUAACAUUGCUGCACCCAUAGAAGGCCCGACUCUCAGUCUCCAUUUAUUGCGCAAAUGAUUUCAUUGCCAUAUCUGCCAUUUGUUUGCGUUGGCCCGUGUAAAAUCAUAUCUCGUGUAUUGAUGGAUUACACAAUGGAGCCAGUAUGUGUCAUAUUAUGCAAGCUAUCAAAACCGCACUAGGUAAGAAACCAAAUAGCAGUGAUUGUUUCCAAGUGUGUUUUAUGAUUAAUCCAGACUUGUAAUGCUGAUUCAUAUCUUUUAGGAGUUUUUUCUGACUCUGCUGGCAGAUCUAUCGUCAACCACUCUCACCUCCGGGUUUGUUUGUGGUCUGGAUAGAUCCUUAUCAGCACAGGAGCCCUGUAGACUAAAGAGGGAUUGGGCUUGAUUUGUACUUCCCUCUUGACAAAUGACAUAAAUACACAUUAAGCAGUGAAAGCAUUUGUUUUAGGAACUCUUUAAAACACCUCCAGAGGCCAAGAAAUGCUCCAUAAAACAAAGACGUUGCAGUGCUUUUUAAGAUGGGAUGGGGAGUGGGGUGCAGAGGCAUGGAGUUGAGGUUUUGGAUGGCAGCAGAGGAACUCUGACCACAUGAAGACGCCUAGUAGCUUGCUCUGAAAGAUUUUGACUUUGUCAUUUCACAUCAUUUCAUUUAAUUUAUUUCAGGGUCUGAUGGUCUCAACCUCAGAUGUCAUACCCUUGGGCUGGCAAGAGUUUGUUUGAUCUUCGUCUGAUUAUAAUUGCACACUGGAAAGCAUUUCUUGAUCAGGGUUUUGGUGGUCUCCAGGAAGAGGGGGACGGAAAGGUUCACUUACAGGCUAUGAAUGACUCCAAUCAAAUGACUACUCUGCUAUGGCCUUCUCUCAGUAACAGACAACAUACUCAAAAGAGUCUGCUAGAGAGAAAGAGAGAGUGAGAACGAUAGCGUAACUCCAUGUGAGACAGAGGGGGAGG